rnacentral:lncRNA from 1 species
UCCUGCCUCAAGAAUCUAACUAACUAGUUUGCAUGCUCAGAAGAUACUCACACUUAGAGGAGAAAAAAAACAAGAAGGGGAGAAUAUCACAUAUGUAUUAUUUAUUUUUGUAUCUAUAUAAAAUCACUAUUCCACACCCAGAAGAUGGAGGGCUGUAACUUCAAGGAGGAAAAAAAACACCCUUCAAAAGAAUACCCUGAAAUGAUCAUCAAAGCCACACGUUGAUGCUACUGCUCUUAAGACAAAGAUAUCAACACCAGAAAAUUUAGGACCCAGCUACCUUAUUGAUCCUGGACUUGUGCACGUGAUUGCAGGAGGAAUAAGGGUCAAUCCAUCAGGUAAUUGUCCAGCUAACACAAUCAUGUUAGUGCCAAAAACUUCUGGGACGGAACAGAAGUGCCCAAAGAGCUGAAGAAGAGCAGAGCCACACAGCUCUUCACAAACCACAACGGGCAAUCCUUGCCCACCAGCCAUGAUAAGUUCUGGGUAAACUCUGCUAGAGAAUUAAAUAUUGAAGUGGCAUUGCAAAGCAAACAGAUCUGUAUUUGAAUCACUCUGGAGGAUCGCAAUGUUUGGAGUUCUUAACCAAGCUGCGUUUGGCAAAGUUACAAAAUCACCUUUAAAAAAAUCUCCUCCUUUUUCCCACUGUCAGUGCUCCUUUAUAUGCAGGACGACAAAACUGAAUCCAGUUUAAAAAGCACCUGUCAGAUCUGUCAGCUGUCAGCAGCACUCCUUUGUUGUUUGGUUACGCUGCCAGGCGAUUCCAGCAUGUUUUCACUAAGAGCAGGAGGUGUCAUCUGGGUACGGCAAAACAAAACCUUGCGACUCACUCAGCAAAAUCAGACAUUGCAGCUUGGUGGGAGACAGAAGCUGAGGCUGCAGUCUUGCACAUAGCUGGGUCCCACUGCAGAGCUGAUCCCACUGCGGGGAAAUAACAUGGUGAUGAGGCUGCCCGUAGCCAGCAGCAGGAUGGAAGACACGCUACUGCAAAGCUCCUCUGCAAGUCAACCACCUGAUGUCUACGGCAGCAGUUCUCCAAAUCUGAAGCACACUAAAGUUGGACAGGAAUGCGGAGAUUGUUGCAUGUCAGGAUGGAGACACCAUGCAAGCAAACAGGGCAGAGAUAGGUACAGGGCAGAGUUUUCAGUCACGUUCUCCUCUGCCUACACAUCGUGCACAAGCUGGGUCUACACCUAGGGGUUUGCAUGAAGAACUAAGCCUUGUGUCUAUUUAUGCAUUCCUUUAUGGUGCCAGAUCUUUGUACAUUCACAUGGUGCUGUGUGGUAUCUAAAAACUGUAAUCCCUGGAGUUGGGACUUCACUCAUCGACUCAGUAACAUUUCAGAACAAGACACCUGACUGGAAACCACACAACAACUGCCAAAUAAAAACCAAUGGAGUAAGAAGUCUUGAAAUUUC